rnacentral:rRNA from 1 species
GACGAACGCUGGCGGCGUGCCUAAUACAUGCAAGUCGAACGCAUUUUCUUUGACCGUAUCUUGCUACACCGAGAGAAAAUGGUUGGCGGGCGGGUGAUGAACACGUGGGUAACCUGCCCAUCAGCGGGGGAUAACACUUGGAAACAGGUGCUAAUACCGCAGAAUUCCAUUUACCGCAUGGGAGAUGGGUGAAAGGCGCUUUUGCGUCACUGAUGUAUGGACCCGCGGUGCAUUAGCUAGUGGGUGGGGUGACGGAGUACCAAGGCUGGGAUGCAUAGCCGACCGGAGAGGGUGAUCGGCAACACGGGGACUGAGACAAGGCCCAGACUCCUACGGGAGGCAGCAGUAGGGCACCUUCGGCAAUCGGCGGAAGGCUGACCGAGCAAAGCCGCGUGAGUGAAGAAGGGUUUCGGAUCGUAAAACUCGGUUGUUAGAGAAGAACAAGGAUGAGAGUGGAAAGUUCAUCCAUUGACGGUAGCUAAACAGAAAGCAACGGCUAACUACGUG